rnacentral:tRNA from 1 species
UAGCUCAGUGGUAGAGUGUGUGCCUAGCAUGCACAAGGUCCUGGGUUCAAUCCUUAG